rnacentral:rRNA from 1 species
GAUGAACGCUGGCGGCGUGCCUAAUACAUGCAAGUCGAGCGAACGGACGAGAAGCUUGCUUCUUUGUCGUUAGCGGCGGACGGGUGUGUAACACGUGGAUACCCUACCUAUCAGAUUGGGAUAAUUUCGGGAAACCGGAGCUAAUACCGGAUAAUCUUCUGCACCGUAUGGUUCAAAAGUGAAAGACGGUCUUGCUGUCACUUAUAGAUGGAUCCGCGCUGCAUUAGCUAGUUGGUAAGGUAACGGGUUACCAAGGCAACGAUGCGUAGCCGACCUGAUAGGGUGGUCGGCCACACUGGAACGGGGACACGGUCCUGGCUCCUGCGAGAGGCAGCAGUAGGGAAUCUUCCGCAGUGGGCGAAAGCCUGGCGGAGCAGCGCCGCGUGUGUGAUAGAGGUCUUCGGAUCGUAAAACUCUGUUAUGAGGGAAGAACAUAUGUGUAAGUAACUGUGCACAGCUUGACGGUACCUAGUCAGAAAGCCACGGCUAACUACGUG